rnacentral:rRNA from 1 species
UACGUAGGGUGCGAGCGUUGUCCGGAAUUAUUGGGCGUAAAGAGCUCGUAGGCGGUGCGUCACGUCGGCCGUGAAAACCUGGGGCUUAACUCUGGGCGUGCGGUCGAUACGGGCAUCACUAGAGUUCGGCAGGGGAGACUGUAAUUCCUGGUGUAGCGGUGAAAUGCGCAGAUAUCAGGAGGAACACCGGUGGCGAAGGCGGGUCUCUGGGCCGAUACUGACGCUGAGGAGCGAAAGCAUGGGUAGCGAACAGG